rnacentral:rRNA from 1 species
AGCUCCAAUAGCGUAUACUAAAGUUGUUGCAGUUAAAAAGCUCGUAGUCGAAUCUGGAUUGCAGGUGUGGUUUGGCUAUAUUAUUAGUCUUUAACACCUCUGAUCCGCUUUGGUCAUCACAAGGCUUUUUCCUUUGUUGGAUAGCCUAGGGAUGACCUUUUUUACUGUGAACAAAAUAGAGUGUUCAUGGCAGGCCUUUAUAAGGCUUAUAUACCUCAGCAUGGAAUAAUAGAAUAGGACUUCCGGUUCUAUUUUGUUGGUUUUUGGAGCCGAAGUAAUGAUUAAUAGGGAUAGUUGGGGGCACUCGUACUCCGUGGUUAGAGGUGAAAUUCUUAGAUCUACGGAAGACGAACAACUGCGAAAGCAUCUGCCAAGGAUGUUUUCAUUGAUCAAGAACGAA